rnacentral:rRNA from 1 species
AUUGAACGCUGGCGGCAGGCCUAACACAUGCAAGUCGAACGGUAGCACAGAGAGCUUGCUCUCGGGUGACGAGUGGCGGACGGGUGAGUAAUGUCUGGGAAACUGCCCGAUGGAGGGGGAUAACUACUGGAAACGGUAGCUAAUACCGCAUAACGUCGCAAGACCAAAGUGGGGGACCUUCGGGCCUCACACCAUCGGAUGUGCCCAGAUGGGAUUAGCUAGUAGGUGGGGUAAUGGCUCACCUAGGCGACGAUCCCUAGCUGGUCUGAGAGGAUGAACAGCCACACUGGAACGGAGACACGGUCCAGACUCCUACGGGAGGCAGCAGUGGGGAAUAUUGCACAAUGGGCGCAAGCCUGAUGCAGCCAUGCCGCGUGUAUGAAGAAGGCCUUCGGGUUGUAAAGUACUUUCAGCGGGGAGGAGGGUGUUGAGGUUAAUAACCUCAGCAAUUGACGUUACCCGCAGAAGAAGCACCGGCUAACUCCGUGCCAGCAGCCGCGUAA